rnacentral:snRNA from 1 species
GUGCUCGCUUCGGCAGCACACAUACUAAAAUUGGAACGAUACAGAGAAGAUUAGCAUGGCCCCUGUGCAAGGAUGACAUGCAAAUUCGUGAAGCAUUCCAUAUUUAA